rnacentral:ncRNA from 1 species
GAGCCCGCCCGGCGGCGCGCCAACGACGCCGCCACGGGGCUGAGAGGCCGCAAGACGCGCGAAAACGCGGGGGGCGGCGACCCUUCGAACCUGGUCCAGUUGAGACUGGCGGAGGGAUGGUGUCAGCGAAAUUU